rfam:HIV-1 isolate 00KE_KER2018 from Kenya, partial genome.
UUUUUUAAAGAGAAUUUAGCCUUCCAGCAAGAAGAGGCCAGGAAAUUUUCCU